rnacentral:rRNA from 2 species
UACGUAGGGUGCGAGCGUUAAUCGGAAUUACUGGGCGUAAAGCGUGCGCAGGCGGUUUUGAAAGUCAGAUGUGAAAUCCCCGAGCUCAACUUGGGAACUGCGUUUGAAACUCCAAAGCUAGAGUAUAGGAGAGGGGGGUAGAAUUCCACGUGUAGCAGUGAAAUGCGUAGAGAUGUGGAGGAAUACCAAUGGCGAAGGCAGCCCCCUGGCCUAAUACUGACGCUCAUGCACGAAAGCGUGGGGAGCAAACAGG